UUAAGUUAUUAAGGGCGCACGGUGGAUGCCUUGGCACUAGAAGCCGACGAAGGACGUUACUAACGACGAUAUGCUUUGGGGAGCUGUAAGUAAGCUUUGAUCCAGAGAUUUCCGAAUGGGGAAACCCGGCACGAGUUAUGUCGUGUUAUCGAUAUGUGAAUACAUAGCAUAUCUGAAGGCAGACGCGGAGAACUGAAACAUCUUAGUACCCGCAGGAAGAGAAAGAAAAAUCGAUUCCCUGAGUAGCGGCGAGCGAAACGGGAAGAGCCCAAACCAAUGAGCUUGCUUGUUGGGGUUGUAGGACACUCUAUACGGAGUUACAAAAGAACAGACUAGACGAAUCAUCUGGAAAGAUGAAUCAAAGAAGGUAAUAAUCCUGUAGUCGAAAGUUUGUUCACUCUUGAGUGGAUCCUGAGUACGACGGAACACGAGAAAUUCCGUCGGAAUCUGGGAGGACCAUCUCCCAAGGCUAAAUACUCUCUAGUGACCGAUAGUGAACCAGUACCGUGAGGGAAAGGUGAAAAGUACCCCGGAAGGGGAGUGAAAUAGAACUUGAAACCGUGUGCUUACAAGUAGUCAGAGCCCGUUAAUGGGUGAUGGCGUGCCUUUUGUAGAAUGAACCGGCGAGUUACGAUUUGAUGCAAGGUUAAGCAGUGAAUGUGGAGCCGUAGCGAAAGCGAGUCUGAAUAGGGCGUUGAGUAUUUGGUCGUAGACCCGAAACCAGGUGAUCUACCCAUGACCAGGUUGAAGUUCAGGUAACACUGAAUGGAGGACCGAACCGACUUACGUUGAAAAGUGAGCGGAUGAGUUGUGGGUAGCGGAGAAAUUCCAAUCGAACCUGGAGAUAGCUGGUUCUCUCCGAAAUAGCUUUAGGGCUAGCCUCAAGUGAUGAUUAUUGGAGGUAGAGCACUGUUUGGACGAGGGGCCCUUAUCGGGUUACCGAAUUCAGACAAACUCCGAAUGCCAAUCAAUUUAACUUGGGAGUCAGAACGCGGGUGAUAAGGUCCGUGUUCGAAAGGGAAACAGCCCAGACCACCAGCUAAGGUCCCAAAAUAUAUGUUAAGUGGAAAAGGAUGUGGCGUUGCCCAGACAACUAGGAUGUUGGCUUAGAAGCAGCCAUCAUUUAAAGAGUGCGUAAUAGCUCACUAGUCGAGUGACACUGCGCCGAAAAUGUACCGGGGCUAAACAUAUUACCGAAGCUGUGGAUUGUCCGUAAGGACAAUGGUAGGAGAGCGUUCUAAGGGCGUUGAAGCAUGAUCGCAAGGACAUGUGGAGCGCUUAGAAGUGAGAAUGCCGGUGUGAGUAGCGAAAGACGGGUGAGAAUCCCGUCCACCGAUUGACUAAGGUUUCCAGAGGAAGGCUCGUCCGCUCUGGGUUAGUCGGGUCCUAAGCUGAGGCCGAUAGGCGUAGGCGAUGGAUAACAGGUUGAUAUUCCUGUACCACCAUUAUUCGUUUUAAGCGAUGGGGGGACGCAGUAGGAUAGGCGAAGCGUACGAUUGGAUUGUACGUCCAAGCAGUGAGAUUGAGUGUUAGGCAAAUCCGGCACUCUUAAGAUUGAGCUGUGAUGGGGAGAGGAAAUUGUUUCCUCGAGUCGUUGAUUUCACACUGCCAAGAAAAGCCUCUAGCUAGAAUUGUGGUGCCCGUACCGCAAACCGACACAGGUAGUCAAGAUGAGAAUUCUAAGGUGAGCGAGCGAACUCUCGUUAAGGAACUCGGCAAAAUGACCCCGUAACUUCGGGAGAAGGGGUGCUCUUUAGGGUUAACGCCCAGGAGAGCCGCAGUGAAUAGGCCCAAGCGACUGUUUAUCAAAAACACAGGUCUCUGCUAAACCGUAAGGUGAUGUAUAGGGGCUGACGCCUGCCCGGUGCUGGAAGGUUAAGAGGAGUGGUUAGCUUCUGCGAAGCUACGAAUCGAAGCCCCAGUAAACGGCGGCCGUAACUAUAACGGUCCUAAGGUAGCGAAAUUCCUUGUCGGGUAAGUUCCGACCCGCACGAAAGGCGUAACGAUUUGGGCACUGUCUCAACGAGAGACUCGGUGAAAUCAUAGUACCUGUGAAGAUGCAGGUUACCCGCGACAGGACGGAAAGACCCCGUGGAGCUUUACUGUAGUCUGAUAUUGAAAUUCGGCACAGCUUGUACAGGAUAGGUAGGAGCCUGAGAUACGUGAGCGCUAGCUUACGUGGAGGCGUUGGUGGGAUACUACCCUCGCUGUGUUGGAUUUCUAACCCGCACCAUUUAUCAUGGUGGGAGACAGUGUCAGAUGGGCAGUUUGACUGGGGCGGUCGCCUCCUAAAGAGUAACGGAGGCGCUCAAAGGUUUCCUCAGAAUGGUUGGAAAUCAUUCAUAGAGUGUAAAGGCAUAAGGAAGCUUGACUGCGAGACUUACAAGUCGAGCAGGGUCGAAAGACGGACUUAGUGAUCCGGUGGUUCCGCAUGGAAGGGCCAUCGCUCAACGGAUAAAAGCUACCCCGGGGAUAACAGGCUUAUCUCCCCCAAGAGUUCACAUCGACGGGGAGGUUUGGCACCUCGAUGUCGGCUCAUCGCAUCCUGGGGCUGUAGUCGGUCCCAAGGGUUGGGCUGUUCGCCCAUUAAAGCGGUACGCGAGCUGGGUUCAGAACGUCGUGAGACAGUUCGGUCCCUAUCCGUCGUGGGCGUAGGAAAUUUGAGAGGAGCUGUCCUUAGUACGAGAGGACCGGGAUGGACAUACCUCUGGUGUACCAGUUGUCGUGCCAACGGCAUCGCUGGGUAGCUAUGUAUGGACGGGAUAAGUGCUGAAAGCAUCUAAGCAUGAAGCCCCCCUCAAGAUGAGAUUUCCCAACUUCGGUUAUAAGAUCCCUCAAAGAUGAUGAGGUUAAUAGGUUCGAGGUGGAAGCAUAGCGAUAUGUGCAGCUGACGAAUACUAAUCGAUCGAAGACUUAAUCAA
rnacentral:rRNA from 2 species